ACGCUCGACACCUACGGGAGCAGCAGUGGGGAAUAUUGCACAAUGGGGGAAACCCUGAUGCAGCGACGCCGCGUGAGCGAAGAAGUAUUUCGGUAUGUAAAGCUCUAUCAGCAGGGAAGAAGAAAGACGGUACCUGACUAAGAAGCCCCGGCUAACUACGUGCAAGCAGCCGCGGUAAUCUGAGCGGGCUGGCAAGGC
rnacentral:rRNA from 1 species